GAGGGGUUCGCGUCCCAUUAGGUAGUUGGUGAGGUAACGGCCCACCAAGCCGACGAUGGGUAGCCGAGCUGAGAGGCUGAUCGGCCACACUGGAACUGAGACACGGUCCAGACUCCUACGGGAGGCAGCAGUGGGGAAUAUUGGGCAAUGGGCGCAAGCCUGACCCAGCAACGCCGCGUGAGGGAAGAAGGUUUUCGGAUUGUAAACCUCUGUCGCAAGGGACGAAGAAGUGACGGUACCUUGUGAGGAAGCCCCGGCUAACUACGUGCCAGCAGCCGCGGUAAUACGUAGGGGGCGAGCGUUGUCCGGAAUUACUGGGCGUAAAGGGUGCGUAGGCGGUUGCUUAAGUUGGAUGUGAAAUACCCGGGCUUAACUUGGGGGGUGCAUUCAAAACUGGGCGACUAGAGUUCAGGAGAGGGAAGCGGAAUUCCUAGUGUAGCGGUGAAAUGCGUAGAUAUUAGGAGGAACACCAGUGGCGAAGGCGGCUUUCUGGACUGACACUGACGCUGAGGCACGAAAGCGUGGGGAGCAAACAGGAUUAGAUACCCUGGUAGUCCACGCUGUAAA
rnacentral:rRNA from 1 species